rnacentral:rRNA from 1 species
AUGAACGCUGGCGGCGUGCUUAACACAUGCAAGUCGAACGAUGAAGCCCAGCUUGCUGGGUGGAUUAGUGGCGAACGGGUGAGUAACACGUGAGUAACCUGCCCUUAACUCUGGGAUAAGCCUGGGAAACUGGGUCUAAUACCGGAUAGGAGCGCCUACCGCAUGGUGGGUGUUGGAAAGAUUUAUCGGUUUUGGAUGGACUCGCGGCCUAUCAGCUUGUUGGUGAGGUAAUGGCUCACCAAGGCGACGACGGGUAGCCGGCCUGAGAGGGUGACCGGCCACACUGGGACUGAGACACGGCACAGACUCCUACGGGAGGCAGCAGUGGGGAAUAUUGCACAAUGGGCGAAAGCCUGAUGCAGCGGCGCCGCGUGAGGGAUGACGGCCUUCGGGUUGUAAACCUCUUUCAGUAGGGAAGAAGCGAAAGUGACGGUACCUGCAGAAGAAGCACCGGCUAACUACGUG